rnacentral:rRNA from 1 species
CGGUCGUCAGGUACACGCAGCGGGGGUAUUGCUUAGGGUGCAAGCGUUUUCCGGCUGUCUCGGGCGUAAGUGCCUCGUAGCAGGCUUGUCCAGUCGGCUGUUAAAAGCUGGGGCUCGACCCCGGGCCGGCGUCGGAGACGGUGAAGCUAGAAUUCGGUAGGGGAGACUGGACUUCCUGGUGUUGCGGUGAAAUGCGCAGAUAUCAGGAGGAACACCGGUGGCGAAGGCGGGUCUCUGGGCCGAUAUUGACGCUUAGGAGCGAAAGCGUGGGGAGCGAACAGGAUUAGAUACCCGAGUAGUC